GGAGGGCUGCAGCUCAGAGGAAGAUCUUCUGUUUUGCAUGCAGACAGUCCCAGGUUCAAUCCCAGGCAUCUCCA
rnacentral:tRNA from 1 species